rnacentral:misc_RNA from 1 species
GGCAUUAAAAUGCUAUUAAAAUUUGAAUAAAAUGAUAAUACUCAUACAUAUUGUCCAUAUGUCGAUAAAACUCUAGAAUAUUUCAGAGGAAAAAAAAAGAACUUUUUAGAAAAUAGAUUGCCUCUGUGAAGCUUUUUUCCCAAGGAUUGCCUCCCAAACCACUGGCAAAAAUGGCCCUUUCUUGUCCAAAAAUUCCCUAACAGCCUUAUCGUCAACGAUGAACCCUUUUUGCCUCACUGUUUUGAUCAUGUUUUGUGCAUCUUCAAGACUUUUCUCCUUGCAAAAUCCAUCAACCAAAGUCACAAACGUUACCACGUUGGGUGAAUGUCCAGCUUCUAACAUUUCCAAGCAAAACUCAAGUGCAUCAUCUAAUCUCUUGCCCUGACUGAGCCCGCGGAUUAUGAUACCAUAACUAAAAGCAUUAGGAAUAAUGCCAUUACCUUGCAUUUUACGGAAAAUCCUCACAGCAUCAUCAAAUUUUUGGGCUUUACAAAAGCCAUCUACCACAGCAGUAUAGAUAACAACUUCAGGUAUUGUACCCUUUUCACGCAUCAGGCCAAAGAGCUUCAUCGCUUCCUGUACCAAGCCGUCCUUGCAGAGCCCAUCAAGCAUUGCUACAGCAUUAGGUAUUAAGCCAGUUUCUUUCAUUUUCUUGAAUAUCUCAUCAGCAUCUUCUGGUGGAGCUGGAGGUGCCUCUGAAACAGGACAGUCUCUACUUUCAGCUUUGGGGUUUGUGUUUGGGUUUUCCUCUUUACGAUCAAAUCCAAGCUGAAAUCUUUUCAGAAAAUCUUCACUAUCCUGGGAUUUCAUUUGACUUUCAUUGUUCUCACUGGAUCUUCUAAAAGUUGUAGAAUGAUUGGGGCUGCUUCUGUUGCUUGGAUGCUGUCUUUGGGAUGGAUUGAAGGGCCUCCUGGAAUCAGCUCGUAAGGGCCUAUUUGGUAUAGGCUCAGGAGGAGGAGGAUAGUUGGAUUCAGCGGAUUCAUCAGAGUAAUCGCUGAAUUUGUUGGAGCUGCUAAAUGAACGCAAGUUUGUUGAAGAACGUGUCUCAUUCACCUUGGGAUGGCAAAGACUACUGUAAUAUUUCCAAUAAAUCUUGAUACCCUUCUGUCUCACUAAUGUUGUUCUCAUAAUGCUUAUCUUUUCCCUUCAAAAUAACACCCAGCGCUACCUAUUUUUCAAGGUCGCCAAAGUUGGCUCUAUCCUCGGAAGGAUUGAACGGCGGCGAGCGAUACAGCCGGCGGCAGCAAAUGCUCAAUGCUC